UUAAUUGAAACCAAUUUAUGAGGUUAAUCACUGUUAAUGAUUAUAAAGAAAUAAUUCUAAUUUCCAAUUAAA
rnacentral:tRNA from 1 species